AAAAAAAAAAAAAAAAAAAAAAAAAAAAAAAAAAAAAAAAAAAAAAAAAACAAAACCAAUUUGACAGAUAUUUUACUCACAAUAACCUGGUAACAAUCUACCCAAAUGGCAUGUAGUCAUGCAUUUUCUUUCUCUCUAAGGACAGCUAUGUCUCAUGAUUUUCACAUAUAUUAUGCAGAAGAAGAGGAAAUGUUUGAAGAGGAUGCUUAGAUCAAGGCCUGGUCAUGGACUUGCAUAUCAUUGCUGAGAGGUCUCAAUAGCAGCUUAAGUACUAUUGAGGACCUCAAGAUGACAAAUUUUCUCCAUCUCUUCUAAGGCUGAAUUGUCAUAUGCAAUGUGCUUUAUGACUAUGCUGGUAAGGCUGAUUUGUGCUGAUGGAUCUAACGUGUGGACUUCUGGAGGCUUUGAGGUGGAUAUACUUCAGUUGUGGAUAAAGAGGUGAAGAAGGACAUCUAUGGUGAUGCUCAGUAAUAUCUGUGAAGAACUGUGGAGACAGACAAAUAGUCAAAGGCGAGGUCAGUGCUUGCAAGUAUCUUCUUUUAAAAGAGUU
rnacentral:lncRNA from 1 species